rnacentral:ncRNA from 1 species
CUUCACGAGACGCGGCCGCCAAGCUCCGACUGGGCCGCGCACCAACCCCAUGCUCAUCGGGUGGUUCGGAUGAGGAAGCGGCCCGCACCCCGGCGGUGGCUCCGCCGGUGACCGGUGCGGGCAAGAGCGAGCG